UACAGAGGGGGCAAGCGUUGUUCGGAAUUACUGGGCGUAAAGGGCGCGUAGGCGGCCUGCUAAGUCGAACGUGAAAUCCCUGGGCUCAACCCCAGGAACUGCGUCCGAUACUGGUUGGCUUGAAUCCGGGAGAGGGAUGCGGAAUUCCAGGUGUAGCGGUGAAAUGCGUAGAUAUCUGGAGGAACACCGGUGGCGAAGGCGGCAUCCUGGACCGGCAUUGACGCUGAGGAGCGAAAGCGUGGGGAGCGAACAGG
rnacentral:rRNA from 1 species